rfam:Stegodyphus mimosarum contig2872, whole genome shotgun sequence.
GCCUUCGUGGCGCAACGGUAGCACACUCGGCGCGUAUUCGAGAGGUCCAGGUUCGAGUCCCGGUGAAGGCA